CUGAUGCAGCCAUGCCGCGUGUAUGAAGAAGGCCUUCGGGUUGUAAAGACUUUCAGCGGGGAGGAAGGGAGUCAAGUUAAUACCUGUGCUCAUUGACGUUCCCCGCAAAAGAAGCACCGGCUAACUCCGUGCCAGCAGGCGCGGUUAUACGGAGGGU
rnacentral:rRNA from 1 species